rnacentral:tRNA from 1 species
GCCUGGGUGGCUCAGUCGGUUGAGCGUCCGACUUCCGCUCAGGUCAUGAUCUCACAGUCCGUGGGUUCGAGCCCCACGUUGGGCU